AACGCGAAGAACCUUACCUGGGCUUGAACUGCACCGGACAAAGGUAGAAAUACCUCUCCCGCAAGGGCUGGUGUAGAGGUGCUGCAUGGCUGUCGUCAGCUCGUGCCGUGAGAUGUUGGGUUAAGUCCCGCAACGAGCGCAACCCUUAUCGUUAGUUGCCAGCGGGUUAUGCCGGGCACUCUAGCGAAACCGCCCCGGAUAACGGGGAGGAAGGUGGGGAUGACGUCAAGUCCUCAUGGCCUUUAUGUCCAGGGCUACACACGUGCUACAAUGGCCGGUACAAACCGUCGCAAACCCGCGAGGGGGAGCUAAUCGGAAAAAGCCGGCCUCAGUUCGGAUUGGAGUCUGCAACCCGACUCCAUGAAGCUGGAAUCGCUAGUAAUCGCAGAUCAGCACGCUGCGGUGAAUACGUUCCCGGGCCUUGUACACACCGGAGUA
rnacentral:rRNA from 1 species